rnacentral:rRNA from 1 species
UACGUAGGGGGCAAGCGUUGUCCGGAUUUAUUGGGCGUAAAGAGCUCGUAGGUGGUUCGGUAAGUCGGAUGUGAAAUCUCCAGGCUCAACCUGGAGGGGUCAUUCGAUACUGCCGUGACUAGAGUUCGGUAGGGGAGUGUGGAAUUCCUGGUGGAGCGGUGAAAUGCGCAGAUAUCAGGAGGAACACCCGUAGCGAAGGCGGCUCUCUGGGACGGUACUGACGCUGAGACGCGAAAGCGUGGGGAGCGAACAGG